UAAUUACUCUGUGUAUUUAAUCCUCUGUUUCCCUUGUCUCUUGUCAGAUCACUGUAUGUCUGCCCUCCUGCGUGUUCCUCAUGUGUCUGUCCUCCAGUGAUUCCUGUUCAGAGACUGCCAAGUGGAAGGACAGCAGCUGCAGGGGGAUGACACUGAGGAUGCCCUGCAGACAGUCCACAAUGUGCGGCAGCUCGAUGGUCUGGUAGGCGUUCUUAGUAAUAUCAAGAUCAUCCUCGCAACAGAGGAUGAUUGGCCGACCCUGGUGAGGGAGAAACAAGAGGAGGAACAAGAGGAGGAACAUUAGCUGGACCUACCGAUCUUGCAGUGAUUUGCUGCAAAGCAUUCUGGCAUUUUGUGUAGCAGGCAUCUUUCAUGAUGACCAUGAUUACUGGCAUGUCUUUGUCAACAAGUGCCAGGGGACCCAUGUUUCAGCUCCCCAGCCAAGAUGCCUUCAGAGUGCAUCUCCAUCUUUAGCGUCUGGAUCGCCCUCACUGGAUCCUCACCAGCCUGUCUGUUUAACCUGUGGAUGGACAGUUUCCCGCUAGUCACCACGGCAACGUCAUCAUCCUCCAUGUAGAGCACCUUUUUGGUGUGUUCAAUGAUGGCACUGUGGGAAGAGAAAAGAUAUGCUACAUGCGUGAACACGUUUUCUUGUAACCUUUUUUUUUUUUAUGGAUGAGGUUUUCCAGAGAAAAAGUGAUGUCAAUAAAAGAACACAAAGGGAUGAAGGAUUUUUUUACAAAACACACAGACGUUUGGUAUCUCACCUGGCGUCAGAGGCAAAGUAAUACUCCACAGGGCUGCCAUCUCCCACAGAGUUGAUGGAGUUGGAGCAGUCAGAGCGAUUAUGGGUG